UCNCUCAGGGGUCUGGGGCUUGCUCG
rnacentral:piRNA from 1 species